ensembl:snRNA U6 U6 spliceosomal RNA
CUGCUCAUUUCAGCGGUACAUAUACUAAAAUUGGGACAAUUCAGAGAUUAGCAUGGUCCCUGCAUAAAGAUGAUAUGCAAAUUUAUGAAGAGUUUCAUAUUUAU